rnacentral:lncRNA from 1 species
GGGGGGGGGGGGGGGGGGGGGGGGGGGGGGGGGGGGGGGGGGGGGGGGGAGAUCGGCGAUCUCGCAUCGUCGACGUGGCGCGGAGCCGGAGCGCGCUGAGGAGAACCGCGCACGUGGUGACUUGGGCGGGACCUGGAGUACUGCGCCGCCAUUUCUUGCCGCGCGGGACGUUCGAGCGGGAGUUCGAACCCGUGGAAACCCGCUGGUUUUUACGGGCGACCUUCGUGCUUUUGGGACACGGUCCUCUCGUCCAUGAGCCAUCACCAGGCACAGCCCCCGCUUCAUUCUGAAGCUGUUCCAAAUGAUCCUCUGCCAAUGCCUGAAAUGAAAGGCAAAGCUGAGAGCAGCAUGCAUGAAACAUCGAAGGGCAGAGGCUUCGUUUUCUUCUUUAAUUCAUGUCACUGGAUUCAUGAGUCAUAUUCGCCAUCAUUUUUUGCCUGUGCCAUUUUUAACCUCGCCGGAGGAGAAGGAAACUCUUUGUUCAGAAGCGUUAUCAGUAGCUUCAGACAGAGCAACAGGAGGAGCAGUCUUCCCAGCAUAUUCAGAAGACUCCAGAGUUUCAAGACAGCUGUUCAACACCCAUAUCCUGUCAUCCCCUAUGCACAACCAUGAUCUUUUCUACCCCCAUUAACCCCCCUCAAGUUUCCAGUUUUUUCUUUUACUUCUGUGAUUAGGAUUUGCGGCUGUAUCUAUCUUGUUCAUCCCAGGUCCUCCCCUAGCCCUUAUUCGUCCCCACAUCCCUUAUUUCUCCAAGUCUUCCUCCAUUUUGUCCCUCAACCAUGUUAUUGGUGUGUCACUGUCCAACGCCACUCUUUCUCCUGUUCUUUUAUGUCUGUUACUUUCUGAUCUAUUCUAUGUUCUAGCUCCUCCACAAGCCUCAAUAUUGUAUAAAAAUACAUUUUAAAAAAAGUCAACAGAAGAUUCUCAGAACUGCAAAGACCACAAUCUGUCAGCUGCCUUGUCAAAGCUCAAGUCCCCAAAAUAGAGGUGUCGGAUAUCAAGGUGUAAUCGGGUAUAUAUCUACCUCUGCUCCUGCUUUAUCCUCUGCUUAAGAAUUACCUUCAAUAUAAAUUUGUUACAACUGCCUCAACUGCUCAUUCCACUGCCAAGUUGAUGAAAAUCUCUGAAGAGCUCGCAUAUUGUAACUGCUGCUCAACCUUCAGAAUUCAGCAAUUAUGCUGCCAUGUUUUGUGAACUGUACUUGCUCAGUUAAUGAUAUGUAUAAAAUAAUCUGGGUGAUUUGGUCAAAGUGUAAAUUUUCAAUAAAGAGGAAGUCUUCAAUAACCAAUGUGUGGCAUGACUCCUGUUUCCCUAUAAUUUGGUUAAAUGGCCUGUUCACUCCAACGACUUGG